GAGACACUGAAAGAAAAAAAAGUGGAGAGAGAAGAAAAAAGACGAGAAGCCUCGCCUAAACCUAAAACACAUAAUCAGUCCAAGGCAAAGGAGAUGAAAUUAUACCAAAGUAAAACAGAAUCCUGCUUCCACUCUUUCAAGCUGUUUUGGUAAAUUACACGUCUCUUUCUCUCGUCUCUCUCUUUCUCCCGUCUCUCUCUCUCUUUUAACCCCGCUAACCUCCAUCUGUCUGCUGUGAGCUGAGAGCAGCCACGCUCGAGCAAUAAUGUACGUUAAUCAAAAGCUCAUGCCACAUUGAUUUUAAUAUUCGCAGACUUUUUUAAAGGACCGCACAGACUUAAAUGCUUUGACAAUCUCUGGUGUUUGUCUGAAUUGCAGUUGCCCUUGCUGUGAUUGCUGAACUGCCCAAAAGGAAAAGGAAAAAAACGGCCCACAGCGCAGCUCCAUAAUGCUUUGCAGCCUCCAUCAUUAGCGCUGUCUGUGUUUGUGUUGAGAGCUGGCAUAACAAGCAUCCGGAGCAUUUGUAAGGAAGGCCAGUGUAAUCCUCUCAAUCACUUCCAGUCCUGUCUAAUAAUAUCUCAAUAACUAGCUGAUGCCUGAUCCCCAAUGACGUCAGCCACCUGGAAGUGACAUUACUCUGGAAAGAAAACAGCAGCACAAAGAUCUGGAACGUGGAGAGAUUAUCAAAGCAGCAGCGAUGCCAUGGUAGCGGCUGGCGGCCAGACUGCGGGUGAAGUCAAAUACGCCGUCUCUGUGGAGGAAGAGGCUUCUGAAUCCUCAUCAUUUCCUUUCUGCAGGUCCAUCACAGUGAACGUGUGUGUGCUUGACAGUCAACCAUAAAGAGGAUAAGCACUUUCCUGCAGAGGAACAGCUGUGGAGCAGGAGCACGGUGAGUCUGGUAUUUUUGGAGAGCAGGCCUUCUGCCUCAUGAAAGCGCGGGGUGGGUCACAACACCUGUUUGUUCGGGACAGACAACCGCCUAUCAAAGCACUGAGGCUCCGAGCGCUGCGUAAUGACAAGACCAGCAGAAGAUCCUCAGUGCUGCAGCGCCAGCCUGUCCUCUAUCCUGAAGCGUACAGUAUGAAUGAUUGAAGGAACAAACAACAGAACGUGUGAAUGAAUGAAUGGAUCAAGACAAAUGCUGGUGUUUAGCUUGAAUUUGGUUGUUGGCAUUAGGAAGGUUGAAUGAAUGCCUAGAUAUCACAGUAUGGCCUAGCAGGUCAGUUGUGUGUCUGUUUUUGUCUUGUAAGAGGCUGGGUCUCUGCA